CCCCAGACUCCUACGGGAGGCAGCAGUGGGGAAUAUUGCACAAUGGGGGAAACCCUGAUGCAGCGACGCCGCGUGAGUGAAGAAGUAUUUCGGUAUGUAAAGCUCUAUCAGCAGGGAAGAAAAUGACGGUACCUGAAGAAGAAGCCCCGGCUAACUACGUGCCAGCAGCCGCGGUAAUACGUAGGGGGCAAGCGUUAUCCGGAUUUACUGGGUGUAAAGGGGGCGCAGACGGCGAUGCAAGCCAGGAGUGAAAGCCCGGGGCCCAACCCCGGGACUGCUCUUGGAACUGCGUGGCUGGAGUGCAGGAGGGGCAGGCGGAAUUCCUGGUGUAGCGGUGAAAUGCGUAGAUAUCAGGAGGAACACCGGUGGCGAAGGCGGCCUGCUGGACUGCAACUGACGUUGAGGCCCGAAAGCGUGGGGAGCAAACAGGAUUAGAUACCCGGGUAAAC
rnacentral:rRNA from 1 species